rnacentral:rRNA from 16 species
UUAAAUCAGUUAUAGUUUGUUUGAUGAUUUGUGCUACUCAGAUAACCGUAGUAAUUCUAGAUCUAAUGCGUGCAACAAACCCCGACUUCUAGGAGGGGCGCAUUUAUUAGAUAAAAGGCCGACGUGGGCUCUGCUCGCUGAUCCGAUGAUUCAUGAUAACUCGACGGAUCGCAUGGCCAGUGUGCCGGCGACGCAUCAUUCAAAUUUCUGCCCUAUCAACUUUUGAUGGUAGGAUAGGGGCCUAUCAUGGUGGUGACGGGUGAUGGAGAAUUAGGGUUCGAUUCCG